GUAAAGAAUUUUUUUUUGGACCAUUCCUCGAUUUGUGCGUGUCAUCCUUGCGCUGGGGCCGUGCUAAUCUUCUCUGCAUCGUUCCAAUUUUAUUGGAUGUCCCCAAGGGGACAUUGUAGAUUGUGGUGGAAGAGGUAUAUAAAUGCUAUAUUGUCUAUGCCCGUAACAGUGUGGGAGUUUGUGUCUAGUAUACUGACCGAAACUUAGAUGAACGUGAACCUAGGAAUCUAUUUAACCCUCGAAGCAGCCUUCUAGUCAUUAACCAUGACCGUGAACUGUGAAGCAGAGGGUAAACAAUCUGGAGCGGUUUCCUUCAAGGUAGUGCGAAAUCAGGUAGGACGAUUCUUGAGUUGUGCAAACCUUUUGUGGAGGCAAAAAUGUGAUAUCAAUAUAUUCAGUCCAUGGAUUCGCUCCCGCCAUUUUUGAUUCCAGGACUAUGUUACUGCUUGGAACUCAAACAGUGUAGAGUUUACAAGCAAGAUGCCAGGACUGUGCAAAAAAUUAAUUUCCCAUGGAUUUACAUGAAAAGUUUCUCUAGUCGUUCACACAACUACAGAAGUGGAGGAAGAUGGUAUCACUUUUUAAAAGUAUAAUCUCCCCCAACCUCUUAGGUUUUGGAGUUGAGACGGGACAUUCAAGCUGAGAUGGGAAUUAGCAUUCGGUUGGUCCUGACAUUCAAAGUUUGUUUCUUACAUCCAUUCAGUACAGGCUCCACCACUUGGGUAGACCUUAGGAAGGCACCCUUACAAAGUGCAAUGGAAGUUGCUUCUCUAGGCCAUGGGACACAAUGAUCACCCAUUGACCCCAUCCAGUUUUCCGGCCCAGUGAGUGGAGUUGCUUUUUUCUUACUCCGUCAAUGUGGGAAGCUUUGAGAGCAAAUCACCUAAUAAUACUAUAUUAUAUUUUUGAGUGGAAUUGCUUUGCUUUGGAUGACAGGCGCGAGUAAAGUUGGAACAGCAUUGCUCCUCAAAAACAUACACUCUCCAUCGGGCUUAUAGUUUUCGGAGUUGAGACGGAAAAAAGUUGAGAUGGCAGCUGUGAUGGUCUGUGUUUUUUCCGCAAAAGAGGCAUCACUUUCCAGAAGGCCAACCUUUCAAAUUUUGGAAUUGAGACAGGACCUACAAGUUGAGAUGGGAAUCAGCAUUCGAUUGGUCCUGACAUUCAAAGUUUGUUUCGUACGUCCAUAUCAGGUAUCACUUUUUAAAAGUAUAAUCUCUUCAAACCUUUUUAACUUUUGGAGUUGAGACGGGACAUUCAAGCUGAGAUGGGAAUUAGCAUUCGAAUGAUCCUGAUAUUCAAAGUUUGUUUCGUACGUCCAUUCAAAUCAGUUUCCGGCCUGGUGAGUGGAGUUGCUUUGCCUUGGAUGACAGGCGCGAGAAAAGUUGGAACGGUGUAAACUCUUUACAUGCAGCGUCGCUUCUCAAAAACAUAUGCUCUCCAUCGAGCUUCUAGUUUUCGGAGUUGAGACUGGGGAAAGUUGAGAUGGGAGCUGUGUUGGUCGGUG